AACGAACGCUGGCGGCAUGCCUAACACAUGCAAGUCGAACGAGACCUUCGGGUCUAGUUGCGCACGGGUGCGUAACGCGUGGGAACCUUCCCUUAGGUUCGGAAUAACUCCCCGAAAGGGGUGCUAAUACCGGAUAAUGUCUUCGGACCAAAGAUUUAUCGCCUUUGGAUGGGCCCGCGUUGGAUUAGCUAGUUGGUAGGGUAAAAGCCUACCAAGGCGACGAUCCAUAGCUGGUCUGAGAGGAUGAUCAGCCACACUGGGGCUGAGACACGGCCCAGACUCCUACGGGAGGCAGCAGUGGGGAAUAUUGGACGAUGGGCGAGAGCCUGAUCCAGCAAGGCCGCGUGAGUGAUGAAGGCCUUAGGGUUGUAAAGCUCUUUUACCCGGGAUGAUAAUGACAGUACCGGGAGAAUAAGCUCCGGCUAACUCCGUG
rnacentral:rRNA from 1 species